UACGGGAGGCAGCAGUGAGGAAUAUUGGGCAAUGGACGCAAGUCUGACCCAGCCAUGCCGCGUGCAGGAUGACGGCCCUACGGGUUGUAAACUGCUUUUGUAUGGGAAGAAACUUUCGCACGUGUGCGGAAUUGACGGUACCAUGAGAAUAAGCAUCGGCUAACUCCGUGCCAGCAGCCGCGGUAAUACGGAGGAUGCAAGCGUUAUCCGGAUUUAUUGGGUUUAAAGGGUGCGCAGGCGGAUUGGUAAGUCAGUGGUGAAAUCCCCCGGCUCAACUGGGGAAUUGCCAUUGAUACUGUCAAUCUUGAGUACAGUUGAAGUGGGCGGAAUGUAUCAUGUAGCGGUGAAAUGCUUAGAUAUGCCACAGAACACCGAUUGCGAAGGCAGCUCACUAAGUUGAAACUGACGCUCAGGCACGAAAGCGUGGGGAGCAAACAGGAUUAGAUACCCUGGUAGUCCACGCUGUAAACUAUGAUCACUCGUUGUUGGCUAUACACAGUCAGCGUCUGAGCGAAAGCAUUAAGUAUCCACCUG
rnacentral:rRNA from 1 species